rnacentral:misc_RNA from 1 species
AUGCCCUAGUUUUCCUCCUAGUGCAAACACCAUUAUAUGUUUACAAACAAAUCUUAUUUUGGACUCAAUGGAUAGUACUGGGUCUUUUUCAGCUGCAUCGGAAUGGCUACAUUAACUGUCAGCUCUCGCAGUUUAACUGUGUCUGCCGACGAUAAAAAUACGCAAAAUGAACCAAUUUUGGAUAAUGAAAUGGAACUCGAAGCGGAGGAAAACCACCCUUCAGACGAACAUUCCUCAACAACACAUGUGUAUAAGAGGCGAUGGAUCAUUAUAUUGUUAUACUGCCUCUACGCCAUGACAAAUUCGUAUCAAUGGAUUCAUCUCAAUAUCAUAGGAAACAUCGUCAUAAAGUAUUACAGAGAAAGUCUCCCGGACGAUAAAUUCCAGAGAGAGACAACGCUGGAUUGGUUGUCCAUGAUUUAUAUGAUAGUGUAUAUUCCUCUAGUGUUUCCAGGAACCUUCUUGUUGAAGAAAAAGGGAGUUAGGGUAUGUCUCGUGGCAGGUGCUUUCCUAAAUGCUCUGGGGGCGUGGUUAAAAGUCGCCUGUGUUUCUCCGGACCGAUUUCCGGUUCUAAUGUUCGCACAGACCGUUUGUGCAUUGGCACAAAUAUUUACUCUUGGACUUCCCGCUAAAAUCGCAGCGGUUUGGUUUGGGCCAAAUGAGGUUUCAACGGCUACGUCAAUAGGGAUAUUUGGAUUCCAGUAUUUAAAGAGAGACCACCCAAACCCCCAAGUCGUGCCCAGAUGUUAGCUACACAGAGGGUACAAGAGGAGCACUAUGGGAAAACACUCCGGAAUCUCUUCAAAAAUGUCGGGUUCGAUCUUCUUGUGGUAACAUUCGGUGUAAACACAGGGUGUUAUUAUGCUAUUUCUACCUUGCUGAAUCCAAUCGUCUUGGAAUCCUUUCCCGGUCAUGAAAAAACUGCAGGACAAAUCGGUUUAACGAUUGUAUUAGCAGGAGUUGCUGGAUCCGUCGUCGCAGGAAUUUGGCUUGACAGAACCAGGACUUACAAAGGCACAACUCUUGGAAUUUACCUGUUCUCUUUGGCUGGAAUGUUGAUCUUCACUUUUACCCUAAGGCUUGAACUAAUAUGGGUUGUAUUCCUGUGUGCAGGGAUUUUUGGGUUCUUUAUGACUGGAUAUUUGCCCGUUUGUUUUGAAUUCGGCGCUGAAAUAACAUAUCCGGAAUCCGAAGGAAUAUCAUCUGCUUUACUUAAUGAGUCCGCAGAACUUUUUGGGAUCAUCUUUACCAUUGGAUGUCGAGCCAUGAUGAAUAAAGUUGGAACGUUUGGUUUGAAUCUUCUGAUAUCCGGCGCUCUCUUUCUAGGAUCAAUAUGUACAGGAUUUAUUAAAGCUGACUACAGACGGCAAAAUGCUGAAAAGAAGAUAUUACGACAGUUGGAUGAUGCCAUAGAAAUAAACGUAACAAAUACAGUGUCUGAGAAGACCCGGAUGACAGAAACAACUGAUUGAAACACAGCCAUAACAUCAGAUUUUUAUAAAGAAGUCGUACAUGUCAUAAACUUUCGCAUUCAAGGACGUGUGUACAUGUUCAGAAGU